CUUGCCAAAUUAUAAGAGGUCCAGCCUGCCCAGUGACUCUGUUCAACGGCCGCGGUAUCCUAACCGUGCGAAGGUAGCGUAAUCACUUGUUCUUUAAAUGAGGACUAGUAUGAAUGGCCCCACGAGGGCUGCACUGUCUCCUUUUUCUAAUCAAUGAAACUAAUCUCCCCGUGAAGAAGCGGGGAUAACCAUAUAAGACGAGAAGACCCUAUGGAGCUUAAAACAACUGAAACAUUUGCUUUUACCUUAACUGCCCCAGGGCUCUUUAUUUUACCUAAGCAUUUUUAUUUCUAGUUUUAGGUUGGGGUGACCACGGAGCAAAACUAAACCUCCACGAAGAAAUGAAUUCUUUUUAAGCCACAAACUACUUUUUUAAGCAUCAACAAAUUGACCUUCAUUGACCCAAUAUAUUGAUCAACGAAC
rnacentral:rRNA from 1 species